AGCAUGUGGUUUAAUUCGAUGAUACGCGAGGAACCUUACCUGGCUCAAAUGUAUGUUGACGUAUUCUGAAAGGGAUACUUCUUCGGACAAUAUACAAGGUGCUGCAUGGUUGUCGUCAGCUCGUGCCGUGAGGUGUCGGGUUAAGUCCCAUAACGAGCGCAACCCCUAUCAUUAGUUGCCAUCAGGUCAAGCUGGGGACUCUAAUGAAACUGCCUACGCAAGUAGUGAGGAAGGUGGGGAUGACGUCAAAUCAGCACGGCCCUUACGUCCAGGGCUACACACGUGCUACAAUGGCCGAUACAGAGGGCAGCUACCUGGUGACAGGAUGCAAAUCUCCAAAGUCGGUCUCAGUUCGGAUCGGAGUCUGCAACCCGACUCCGUGAAGUUGGAUUCGCUAGUAAUCGCGCAUCAGCCAUGGCGCGGUGAAUACGUUCCCGGGCCUU
rnacentral:rRNA from 1 species